AAUGACACCUUUUUUGCUCUGACGACUUACAUUUCGAGAAAUAGCCUCUCGAAAACGUCAUUGAAUGGUUUCCGCCUACGUUUGCAUGCGUGAUAACAUCAAUAAAAAUUUGGUGUUCUGCCCAGAAGCAUGCAAAUACACUGUAAGAUAAUUUAAUUUUGGUUUCAUCACAUAGGUGUAGUAGUAGUGAAGCUGGCUAACCACAACGUUUGCACAGUUUCCCGCCUCAUCACAGGGAAUUGCCUCACAGCACUUCCGAGAGUAAAAUGGGACCUGGUUGCAGGGGAUAGCGUUCACACACAAGUAUUACUCACAGUGCUUGCGUUAUUAGUGUUUGCGUGCGUUUGCGUGUUUAGAUUUCUUGGUAUGUACAUGUGGUGUGUACAUGUAAGCGGAUAUGUAUGUUUAAAAAUACGCCUAAUACGCAAGUACCACACUAAACUGUGUUUGGUUUGGUUUGUUGUGUUGUGUAAUAUUUUCAUUUAGGUUUGGUUACAAAACGUACCUAAACAAUAGAUAAAAUUUUUAUACACAGGGUGCCCCUGGUCGAGCUGUGUCGAGAAUCAAGAGUCAACACCACACCUUAGUGCAACCCAAAAAAGCCAUGUCGAAUUCACUGCGUGAAAGUCAUCUUUGUAAUUGUAAUGUGACUGUAAUUGACUGUAAUUGUAAUGUGAGUAAGAGAAUGUGAGUAAGAGUGAACUGUUUUGAGCAGGUAUUAAGAAGUGUGCAUCCACAGGUGUCCCGCACAAAACUUGGGUUAACAGUGGUGCCUGGAGGGAUCUUGAUCAUGUGGUUCAGCACGAGGGCGGCCAUAACCUAAAGGCUGACUCAGCAGUUGGAAUCAUUAGUUGGUGUUCUUAGCUACCUAGAUAAAAAUAAGCACAACUAGAUAUCAGGCUCAACAAGAGCCACUUUUGGCACUACUGACAAAACCACGAAGUGUCACUUCUUCAUUUGUUCCGUCCGGUGUAGUGGGCUCUUUGGCCAGCUCUGUGUUGAUAAAGUACAUAGCUAUUUGGAAUGCAAACGUCCUUUAGAAGAACUUGUGGAACUUCGUUGGGCACCCCCUAUUUUGAUCCCCGUUAUCGACACCUCCCAUUGAUUGGUUGUAGUUUGCCUGUCUUGCGCCGUCAUGUGAGUCAUAGGCUGUGGACAUCACAUGAACCAGCUCACUUCAAGGAAUAUUAGACGUCAAAACUGUCAAAGGUACGACACGUUUUAUGACUUUGUACAGGAACAUUUAAUUCCUCACCUGAUGCCUUUCAAUGGGUUCAAUCCUCAUUCUGUUGUAGUGCUAGAUAACUGCUCCAUACACAGAAGUGAAGACAAUGUUGGAAGAAAUUGGAGUUCUUGUUCACUUCAUAUUCACCUGACUUCAACCCCAUUGAGGAAGCAUUUUCGAAGGUGAAGUCUGGCCUUAAAAGCCAGCUUGACAGUAGUAGUGAUGUAGAAACACUACUAGCUUCACAAGUAUUAGCCCAGAAGAUUGUCGUGGCUGGAUUGAAUAUCCAAGUAUAUACAACUUCAAUUGACUUUGUAAACACAUUAAUUUUUCACAUUUUUAAAUUGUUUGCCAUAACAAACAGUAACAUGUUGACACAAUAGUUAGAGGUAGGCAACCAACAUCAAAGAUUGCAUCCGGAUUUACUACAUCGAGAGUAGUUUAUCUGAACAGCUUCUUGCACCACAAGCCACACCAAAAAGAAUACACCGUACCUUUUGUUUGGUACAGCACCAGUUUGCAAUUCUUUCACGAACGGCAGUAGGUUUAUGUCACCCAAGACAAUCCCUCUUGAAUCGUACCUGGUAGGGUAAGUUUAUAUAGCUCCGACUGACGAAUUCGAGUGCUUAAAUGGUUGAAACCAGUUCAGUGCUCCCGAUAAGAAAAUCAUUUUGCUCUGACACAAUGUCCUUACAUACCGUAUAGCGCGAAAUUUUCGAGGGGCUUAAUUUUCGCGGAUUUCGUGGGUUGGAAUUCUAUACGAAAAUUAAGUCCACGAAAAGUGUUCGUUAAUAAGAAUUACCUGCUACAUGCAAAUAUUUAAAGGCGUGGCUUCCGGUAAGCAGUCAUUCCGCAAACAUUGUGCAACGAAAUGGCUUUUAGAGGCCAAUCCACGAAAUAUAAGUGCCUCGAAAAUUUCGCGCUAUACGGUAUCUAAAUUUGACCAAACAUCCCAAAAAUUGAAAGGACAAAGGCAUGAGCCCCCCCCCCUCAAGUCAAGUAUUUAUCAUUUUUGUCAUUGUUGUUCAUUUUGAAUAUUGAUGUUUCAUCAUAAUUGUGUACAAAUGUGUACAAAAAUAAAUAUAAACUAGUGAGUCAUUGUCAAUCAGAUCAGGUAAGCAAUUUCGAACUUCUUCAGUAUUUGUGUGGCACCAGCAUCCAGGGUAGUAUUGUAAAGUGCCUUUGCGAUUGGAGAGUACUCAGUCAGCCUUGGCUCUUCCUGAAAAGAAUCAUCGCUCGUUGAUGCAUAUCAGUCUUAGCAUGAUCCCUGAAGCUGGAUGUAUGUAGGUUAGUAGAGCCUACGAUGAAGGCAUCGUUGUAGUUUCUUGAACCUCUUAUCUUUUCAUCGAAAGUAGUACAGAUAGAACAAUUAAUGGAUGCUACGUGGUCACGAUCGUACUUCUCGUACUUAAGCCACAGAGCUGUGUUAAACUCUCUAUCACAGCUAGAAAUCCAGUUUUGCACAGUCCUAAUAACUACACAACAUUCUUUUGUGGAGUUUGUGGAGGCUCACUGCUAGAACUAGACUGACUAACUUCUCCUGACAUUUUAGCCCCGACCAUGUGCGAUUUUGGGCGGACACGUGAUUAAAAUAACCGGAAGUUGUCCGAUGUCCGGAAGUAAACACGAGCACUGCCAGUUGACAUGGAGCAUCAAUGCAUAUGCAGCCAAACACGGUCGUCGAUCUUCACAACAGUGCUCACACAACUUAGCAAACUGUUCAUUACUAAGAAGUCUUUGAAGAGAUCGUUCAAGUCCCAAUACACUUUGAAUGGACAGAGCUUUUGCUGGACAGAGCUUUUGCUUACCAUUCAACCAUUCAACAACCUAACAGUUUUCAGGAGGGGCGUUUUACAGGAAAGGCGAGCAUUUGGAUGCUUGCUCUCACUAGACGUCCCACAAUGUUCAACACUAUCAUCAGCUACCGCGUAAAUUCCUCUCUGAUUUUGAAGAACUUUCGUAGCCGGAAAAGUGAACCUAAAAUGGAGCUGCUGAAUGAUAGAGCUGCUGAAGCUACUCAGAACUUGAAGCUACUCAGAACUUGAAGAAAAGCAUGAAGAAAUUUCACUUCUAGAAAUUUCAUGUCAUUGCGAAUAUAAUGUUUCGCUUGUAGUCUCAGUAAGAAAAGGAGUAACCAGGUUGUUAAUGUUGUUUCUUGGUCCGAACCAAACUUUCUUCAAGGUCAGGCAAUGUCUCAUGUCAUUAUCUUCGUAUCUUCGCUACCUUCAUCCGUCUUCUCAUACUCGUUUCACUCAUUACAUAAUUAAUAAUCACUCUGGGACUCUCACCUUCUGUAUCAGACUGUUGAGAACUUAGUUCAUCAUCAUCAAAGUUGUCUGUGAUCAUUUCCUACAAGUGAGGACAUAUAAAUUAUACAUUCUAGCUAUACUCCCACUGUUAACAGGCCAUUAAGUACAAACAAUUUGCUAACAGAUCUAAAAAUAGGUUCGCCUAUGUGUGAGAUAGGUCUUUCUUGUUAAAGUUUCGCCACUGCAUGCUGCUUCUAACUUUAGCUAGCUACAAUAAUGCCAGAUUCAGGACAUUUCAGUGCGCAGUGCAUGCCCAUCUAAGUUUGCAAGCAACAAAUUUCGUUUAAUUGGAGAGCAGUUUUGGCACGUAUAAACUGUCAAGAUUUCUACCGUGAUAGCUAGCUAGCUAGCUCCAAAGCAAGUUGCUUGAUGGCUUCAACAAGCAAUGCAGAACUAUAGGAAGGAUCUAGGGCUGCCUCCAUCCCACUAACAGCUUCUAGUGAGUCUACACCUGGCCUUAUGCCCACAGCAGACACGACCUGACCUCCUGACCUAUUCAGACAGUGAAGACUUGCAGCCACCUACAGCCACCUACAUGUACAAGAAGGCUGGAUCUGAUGUCGAUGACAUGAACUAUACAAACAGCUGAAAACACUUCAAGAGCAGCAGCAGCAGCAAUCAGGUUCUUCAUCAUCUGGUAGCAGAAAAAUACCUCGUGUAAGUUCAGCCUUUAUAGCAAGAACGGAGGAAGUGUUAUCGAGCUCUGUUGGAUGAGUUAGGUUUUCAACUCUGAUGAUAAUCAAUCAGUUGUUCAGCACCUUAUAAAGUAAGUCCGUGGUUUAAACCCAACAUUCAAUGCAUCAGAUAUCCGAGGUUAGUAUUAUUCUUGCAAUGAUGGGCAAACACAGUUUCUUCCAUAAUUAUAGAUGCUGCCUACCGGUUCUACCGGACAGAGGAGUCACACAAGAUACUGAUGUGGCCAAGAAAACGACAAGGAGACGACGUGAAAGAAUUUCAAGGGUAGCGCAGACCCCAGAGGUAUCUUGACACCAUCUUCGUUACCUAGCAUUACAAACUGUAUGAAGGCACAGAGUGGCUAAAGACUAAAGACACUAAAUAAGACAUGGUUCAAUCAGGAUCUGCAGAAAGUUCUCUGCGAGGUCGUAUCAGCAGACGACGGUUAAUAUAUAGUUGAAGUGUCCCAUUGAGAUAUUACAUUGUUCUGUGCUGUAAACGUAAAGCCGUAAAGAGAGAGAGGCUACAAUUUUAAAGAUGAAUGAAGAUUUUUUAUGUCUUCUGAGGAAAGUCAUAGUCCACCCUCUCCCCUUGGAGAUCAGAGUACUGUACAAAGAUGUUCAGAAAAAUUAAAAAUUGAUGCGUACUGUGAUAACCACAAGUCGCCCCAAGCUAAACACCCAGAGCAUUUGGUGAUGUUUCUUCUUCUCGGCCGCAACCGAAGAUGGAAGAAUACCCCAGUUGGGCUACACUGCUUUGGACGUAUCAGUGCAUGUGCAUUAUUUACAAACAAUGUUUACUUCUCACCUGAUUUCUGCCCAAUUUAAAUUAAAACCAGAAUUUAAAAAUCCAUAUCUCGAAAUCACUACUCGUAACUAUUUCCUACAGGUAGCCCAGACCCCGGGGGUGCCAUCACAUCAUCAUCGUUACCUAGCAACUGACCACCCCCAACUAAUUAGCGAUUGUUUACAAACAUUCACAAUUAUGUACACAAACAAUAUACACAAACAAUAUUGUACGAAGGCACAAAGUGCCUUUAGACACUAAGUAAGUGUUCUCAAUGUUCUCACGGUGACGAUCAGGAUCUGCCGAAACUUCUCUGCGAGGUUGUAUCAGCAGACGCCGGGAAACGUUCUUCGUUCUUCACCUACACACACGUUUACAAGUUCAAUGGUGGCUGUACUAACUAGCCUAAGCAAACCUAUACUGAAGAGCUAUCCUGAAGCUAUCAGAAUACAGUAUGUUGUACAAAUGUUGUACAAAUGAUCCAGAAACUUCGCUCUUUAUUUUUUAGCUUGAGGUAGCUUCCUACCUAGCUACGAUCCCAGUCACUGUCCUCUCACUCCUCACUCUACAAGGCCAUAAGCAUCGAUAUUCUCACUGGCCUCGCUGAGGUUGUACUACGAAGAUCUUUAAGUAAUCGGUCACUUUUCUUUUGACGGUACUGCGUACCUCGAAGCAAGAUGUUGAAAAUACCAUGUGAAAGAGCAGCUCAAGGUGCAUGUGCUGGUACCUACAGCGUGCGC